AGAUGUGAGGGCGAUCUGGCUGCGACAUCUGUCACUCCAUUGAUCGCCAGGGUUGAUUUAGCUGAUCUGGCUGGCUAGGCAGGUGUCCCCUUCCUCCCUCACCUCUCCAUGUGCGUCCAUCCCGAAGCUGCGUGCUCGGUCGAAAAGGACGACCUUCCCCGAUAGAGACGUACCGUUCAUCGGUCUACGGGAGCUGCGCUCCCCUGCUAGAACCUCCAAACAAGAUCAAGGUCCAGUUGUAGGAGAACGUAGGGUAGUCAAGCUUCCAAGACUCCAGACACAUCCAAGUGAGGUGCUGCAUGGGGCAAUCUGCCAUUCUUU
rnacentral:snRNA from 1 species